rnacentral:rRNA from 1 species
GCUACCAUGCAAGUCGAGCGGUAACAGGUCCUUCGGGAUGCUGACGAGCGGCGGACGGGUGAGUAAUGCAUAGGAAUCUGCCCGGUAGUGGGGGAUAACCUGGGGAAACCCAGGCUAAUACCGCAUACGUCCUACGGGAGAAAGGGGGCUCCGGCUCCCGCUAUUGGAUGAGCCUAUGUCGGAUUAGCUGGUUGGUGAGGUAAUGGCUCACCAAGGCAACGAUCCGUAGCUGGUCUGAGAGGAUGAUCAGCCACAUCGGGACUGAGACACGGCCCGAACUCCUACGGGAGGCAGCAGUGGGGAAUAUUGGACAAUGGGGGCAACCCUGAUCCAGCCAUGCCGCGUGUGUGAAGAAGGCCCUCGGGUUGUAAAGCACUUUCAGCGAGGAAGAACGCCUGGCGGUUAAUACCCGCCAGGAAAGACAUCACUCGCAGAAGAAGCACCGGCUAACUCCGUGCCAGCAGCCGCGGUAAUACGGAGGGUGCAAGCGUUAAUCGGAAUUACUGGGCGUAAAGCGCGCGUAGGUGGCUUGAUAAGCCGGUUGUGAAAGCCCCGGGCUCAACCUGGGAACGGCAUCCGGAACUGUCAGGCUAGAGUGCAGGAGAGGAAGGUAGAAUUCCCGGUGUAGCGGUGAAAUGCGUAGAGAUCGGGAGGAAUACCAGUGGCGAAGGCGGCCUUCUGGACUGACACUGACACUGAGGUGCGAAAGCGUGGGUAGCAAACAGGAUUAGAUACCCUGGUAGUCCACGCCG